UCGAUGGAACGUUCUGCUGCUUUGCGUCAACUUUCUUCAACGAUUACGGAACUCCGACUCGGAUCAACACCGUCAAAGUGCUAGUCAAAAACGUUCCGGACUUUAGCGCCUCCCGGGAAAAGAACGAUCUGGGCGUCCUGACGAUCGAUCUCAAGGUUGUUCAACUGGAGCAUGAAGCAGCUAUUCACGUAUUUGACCAGACUUCAAGAACAAGAACACUAAGUCCUUAUUCUGGGACGAUGCGGCCCCCCUAAGAAGAUUCUAAAAGCUAUCAUUCCGGUUAAGGAUAUAGAAAAAAUUGUCCCCAGUGAUUUGCUCGAACAAAUGAAAAGUCCGGAGCGUGAGGAAAUAUCGACGGAACCAAAGAUUGAUCUUAAUUCCACACCAAAUGCAUCGUUGGUUUUUCCGGAGUAUCUUUUACCAAAAGCGACCCCGAAGAUCCCGGUUCAAACUCCUUCUAAGAUUUACAGCAUCAUGAACAAUUCGUUGGCGGAACGUGUCAGCA